rnacentral:rRNA from 1 species
AGAGUUUGAUCCUGGCUCAGAACGAACGCUGGCGGCGCGCCUAACACAUGCAAGUCGAACGAGAGGCCGUAGCAAUACGGUCGUACAGUGGCGAACGGGUGAGGAAGACGUGGGUAACCUACCCUCGAGUGGGGAAUAACCCGCCGAAAGGCGGGCUAAUACCGCGUACGCUUCUGUUCCUUCGGGGACGGAAGGAAAGCUGUGCCGUGGGCAUGGCGCUCAGGAUGGGCUCACGCCCUAUCAGCUUGUUGGUAGGGUAACGGCCUACCAAGGCAACGACGGGUAACUGGUCUGAGAGGACGACCAGUCAGGAUGGGACUGAGACACGGCCCAUACUCCUACGGGAGGCAGCAGUGAGGAAUCUUCCGCAAUGGGCGAAAGCCUGACGGAGCGGCACCGCGUGAAGGAUGACACCCUUUCUGGGCGUAAACUUCUGUUCUGAGGGAACAAAUUUUUGAGGGUACCUCAGAAGAAAGCACCGCUAAUUCCGUGCCAGCAGCCGCGGUAAGACGGAAGGUGCAAGCGUUACUCGGAAUCACUGGGCGUAAAGCGUCUGUAGGCUGGAAAAUCAGUCUGGGGUGAAAGGUGGGAGCUCAACUCCCAUUGCGUCCCGGAAACUGUUUUCCUUGAGCAACUCAGGGGCACCUGGAAUGCUGUGUGUAGGGGUAAAAUCCGUUGAGACACAGUGGAACGCUAAAAGUGAAAACAGGGUGCUGGGGGUUUGCUGACGCUGAGAGAGAAAGCGUGGGUAGCGAACGGGAUUAGAUACCCCGGUAGUCCACGCCCUAAACGAUGCGUGUUCGGUGUGGGGGAACGUUCGAUCGAUCCUCCGUGCCUUAGCUAACGCGGUAAACACGCCGCCUGGGGAGUACGGUCGCAAGAUUAAAACUCAAAGGAAUAGACGGGGACCCACACAAGCGGUGGAGCAUGGGGUUUAAUUCGAUAGUAAGCGGGGCACCUCACCCAGGUUUGACAUCUUAGGAAGAUUUUAGAAAUGAAUCGUGCCGCAAGGAACCUAAUGACAGGCGCUGCACGGUCGUCGUCAGCUCGUGCCUUGAGGUGUGUUGUUAAGUCAAUGAACGAGCGCAACCCUCAUCCUAUGUUGAUUUUUCAUAGGAGACUGCCGGCUCCAAGUCGGAGGAAGGUGGGGAUAACGUCAGAUCAGCGUGGCCCUUAUACCUGGGGCGACACCCAUGCUACAAUGGCCGGUACAGCGGGCAGCCAAAUCGCGAGAUGGAGCGAAUCCCUUAAAACGGUCUCAGUUCGGAUUGAAGUCUGCAACUCGACUUCAUGAAGUUGGAAUCGCUAGUAACCGUGAAUCAGCCACGUCACGGUGAAUAUGUUCCUGGGUCUUGUACUCACCGCCCGUCAAGUCAUGAAAGGCAGGAGCACCCGAAACACCUUUACCCGCAAGGGGGGGUACCACGGUGAUACUGCUGAUUGGGACUAAGUCGUAACAAGGUAACC